GUGCUCACUUUGGCACCACAUAUAAUAAAAUUGGAAUGAUACCCAGAAGAUUAGCAUGGCCCCUGUGCAAGG
ensembl:snRNA U6 U6 spliceosomal RNA